rnacentral:rRNA from 1 species
AGUGAACGCUGGCGGUAUGCCUAACACAUGCAAGUCGAACGACAGCACAGUAAGAGCUUGCUCUUACGGGUGGCGAGUGGCGGACGGGUGACGAAUACAUCGGAUUCCUCUUUUUCGGGGGUGAUAACGUAGGAAAACUUAUGCUAACACAGCAUAUGUCCUACGGGUGAGAGCAGGGGUUCUUCGGACUUUGUGCGAUUGAAAGAGCCGAUGUCGGAUUAGCUAGUUGGCGGGGUAAAGGCCCACCAAGGCGACGCUACGUAGCUGGUCUGAGCGGAUGAUCAGCCACACGGGAACUGAGACACGGUCCAGACUCCUACGGGGGGCAGCAGUGGGGAAUCUUGCGCAAUGGGCGAAAGCCUGAUCGAGCAAUACCGCGUGAGUGAUGAAGGACUUCGGGUUGUAAAGCCCUGUUGUUGGGAAAGAAAAACAGCGGGUUUAUCCCCGGCUGUUCUGACGGUACCCAAAGAAUAAGCACCGGCUAACUUCGUG